GACAGAGGUCCCGAGCGUUAGGCGGAAUCACUGGGCUUAAAGCGUGUGUAGGCGGAUCGUUAAGUACCUUGUGAAAUCCCACGGCUUAACCGUGGAACUGCUGGGGAUACUGGCGAUCUUGAGCCACCUAGGGGCAACCGGAACAAAUGGUGGAGCGGUGAAAUGCGUAGAUAUCAUUUGGAACGCCAAUGGUGAAAACAGGUUGCUGGGGGUGUGCUGACGCUGAGACACGAAAGCCAGGGGAGCGAACGGG
rnacentral:rRNA from 1 species